rnacentral:rRNA from 1 species
GAUGAACGCUAGCGGCAGGCCUAAUACAUGCAAGUCGAACGGUGUCUUCGGACAUAGUGGCGCACGGGUGCGUAACACGUAUGCAACCUACCUUACAUUGGGGGAUAGCCUUUCGAAAGGGAGAUUAAUACCGCAUAAGACAGUAGCUGGGCAUCCAGCAGCUGUUAAAGAUUUAUCGAUGUAAGCUGGGCAUGCGUCCAAUUAGCUAGUUGGUGAGGUAACGGCCCACCAAGGCAAUGAUUGGUAGGGGAACUGAGAGGUCAAUCCCCCACACAGGCACUGAGAUACGGGCCAGACUCCUACGGGAGGCAGCAGUAGGGAAUAUUGGGCAAUGGACGCAAGUCUGACCCAGCCAUGCCGCGUGCAGGAUGAAGGCGUUAUGCGUUGUAAACUGCUUUUAUACAGGAAGAAACGACUCUUGCGAGAGGCAUUGACGGUACUGUAUGAAUAAGCACCGGCUAACUCCGUGCCAGCAGCCGCCGCGGUAA